AGCAGCCGCGGUAAUUCCAGCUCCAAUAGCGUAUAUUAAAGUUGUUGCAGUUAAAAAGCUCGUAGUUGAAUUUCGGGAUUGGCAUAUCGGUCGUGUUUUCGGACAUGUACUGGUAGCUGUCAAUCUCCACCUUCUAGUGAACUAUUAUGCCUUUCAUUAGGUGUAAUAGGAAGCUAGGACUGUUACUUUGAAAAAAUUGAGUGUUUAAAGCAGGCUUUAUGCUUGAAUAGAUUAGCAUGGAAUAAUGAAAUAGGACGGCAUGAUUCUAUUUUGUGGUUUCUAGGAUCACCGUAAUGAUUAAUAGGGAUAGUUGGGGGCAUUAGUAUUCAAUUGUCAGAGGUGAAAUUCUUGGAUUUAUUGAAGACUAACUACUGCGAAAGCAUUUGCCAAGGAUGUUUUC
rnacentral:rRNA from 1 species